CCUACGGGGGGCUGCAGUAAGGAAUAUUGGUCAAUGGACGAAAGUCUGAACCAGCCAUGCCGCGUGGAGGAUGAAGGUCCUCUGGAUUGUAAACUUCUUUUAUAUGGGACGAAAAAAGGCCUUUCCAGGUCGUCUGACGGUACCAUAUGAAUAAGCACCGGCUAACUCCGUGCCAGCAGCCGCGGUAAUACGGAGGGUGCAAGCGUUAUCCGGAUUCACUGGUGCGAAAGGGGGUUUAGGUGGCAGGGUAGAAAUCCCCGGGCUUAACUUGGGAACUGCCAUUGAUACUAUCAGUCUUGAAUACCGGGGAGGUCAGCGGAAUAUGUCAUGUAGCGGUGAAAUGCUUAGAUAUGACAUAGAACACCAAUGGCGAAGGCAGCUGGCUACACGGGUAUUGACACUGAGGCACGAAAGCGUGGGGAUCAAACAGGAUUAGAUACCCGGGUAGUC
rnacentral:rRNA from 1 species